rnacentral:rRNA from 1 species
AACCAGCACCUCAAGUGGUCAGGAUGAUUAUUGGGCCUAAAGCAUCCGUAGCCGGCUCUGUAAGUUUUCGGUUAAAUCUGUACGCCUAACGUACAGGCUGCCGGGAAUACUGCAGAGCUAGGUAGUGGGAGAGGUAGACGGUACUCGGUAGGAAGGGGUAAAAUCCUUUGAUCUAUUGAUGACCACCUGUGGCGAAGGCGGUCUACCAGAACACGUACGACGGUGAGGGAUGAAAGCUGGGGGAGCAAACCGGAUUAGAUACCCGGGUAGUCCCAGCUGUAAACUAUGCAAACUCAGUGAUGCAUUGGCUUGAGGCCAAUGCAGUGCUGCAGGGAAGCCGUUAAGUUUGCCGCCUGGGAAGUACGUACGCAAGUAUGAAACUUAAAGGAAUUGGCGGGGGAGCACCACAAGGGGUGAAGCCUGCGGUUCAAUUGGAGUCAACGCCAGAAAUCUUACCCGGAGAGACAGCAGAAUGAAGGUCAAGCUGAAGACUUUACCAGACAAGCUGAGAGGUGGUGCAUGGCCGUCGCCAGCUCGUGCCGUGAGAUGUCCUGUUAAGUCAGGUAACGAGCGAGAUCCCUGCCUCUAGUUGCCACCAUUACUCUCAGGAGUAGUGGGGCGAAUUAGCGGGACCGCCGCAGUUAAUGCGGAGGAAGGAAGGGGCCACGGCAGGUCAGUAUGCCCCGAAACUCUGGGGCCACACGCGGGCUGCAAUGGUAACGACAAUGGGUUUCGAAUUCGAAAGGAUGAGGUAAUCCUCAAACGUUACCACAGUUAUGACUGAGGGCUGCAACUCGCCCUCACGAAUAUGGAAUCCCUAGUAACUGCGUGUCACUAUCGCGCGGUGAAUACGUCCCUGCUCCU